UACGAGGGGGGCGAGCGUUGUUCGGAAUUAUUGGGCGUAAAGCGCGCGCAGGUGGUGCGGUAAGUCUGCCGUGAAAUCUCCCGGCUCAACUGGGAGGGGGCGGUGGAGACUGCCGGACUAGAGGGACUCAGAGGCCGGUGGAAUUCCCGGUGUAGUGGUGAAAUGCGUAGAGAUCGGGAGGAACACCAGUGGCGAAGGCGGUUGCCUGGGGCUUUGCUGACGCUGAUGCGCGAAAGCGUGGGGAGCGAUCCGG
rnacentral:rRNA from 1 species